UCAACGCGGGAAAUCUUACCGGGUCCGGACACACUGAGGAUUGACAGAUAUAUACCCCGUGAUUUUAUCGCGGGGUUGAAAGAUGCUAGUUCUUUCAUGAUUAUGUGAUAGGUGGUGCAUGGCCGUUCUUAGUUCGUGGAGUGAUCUGUCUGCUUAAUUGCGUAUCAAUAAUAGAGACCUAGUAUACGCGUAGACUCAUGCGGUAGUGACCCCCCUUCACAGGGCGCGUGUCGCACGUAUGUUAUACGCACAGGUCUCCGAUAGCAACGAACGUGACCGUACUCUAUUGUUGCAGCGACAAUACCUUUCAACGGGUAUUACCGCUGCUUAGCAAGAUUCGUCUUGCAUUAAACUAUAGAGACCGCUGUUUCUUCUUUAAACCAGAGGAAGGAUACGGCAAUAACAGGUCUGUG
rnacentral:rRNA from 1 species